rnacentral:lncRNA from 1 species
GAUCCCUUCCUUCUGCGGGUGCGCGUCGAGAUCCGUUAACAGGCGCCCCCCCUCCGGCUCCGGCGACAGAGAGGGAGGCCACCGACGGCGGCCGGCGACCGAAGAUGUUCCUUGUGGACUGGUUCUACGGGGUGCUCGCGUCGCUCGGACUCUGGCAGAAGGAGGCCAAGAUCCUCUUCCUCGGCCUCGACAACGCCGGCAAGACCACGCUCCUCCACAUGCUCAAGGACGAGGUAGGGAAAAGAACUUCCGCCCUUUCCUUAUUACUUAUGUUCCUUAUAUGAUGGAUUAGUCGUUUUUCGUGCAAUAAGGUUUGGUAGUUUGACGAGGUUGGAGGAAUUGUGAUAGUUCUUGGAUCGGGAUGAUCCGUGUGGUUUUAGGAGUAAUUGAUUGAUCCCUUCCCCUAAUAUAUAUGUUCACGCAUAGUAUCUGUAUUUUUAAAUGAAGUAUUUUGAUUCUAUUCGGAUUUUAGAUUUGGAGACAUCUGUGCCAGUAGAUGUUCAUCUUAGCGGUGAGAGUUCUUGGGGAUUUUCUUUAUAGACCAUUUUCAAACGAACCGUGGAAUUUUCACGGUGCGUUGCCAAAAAAAUUCCAUAUUCUUUAGAUUCGGGUGGCUUCGAUCGUAUGUGGUAAAAGGGGUUCCCAAUUUGGGAGUAGUUGGUGGAUUAGCACCCUGAGUCUUUGUUUCCUGUCGAGGAUAGUAGUGGACAGAUUUCAUUUUGGUAGCCGAGCUGCGUUCUUUCUUUGAGCACUGGAUUGCUUGCCAGAUCUGGAAAACUCCCAUAUAGCACCUUAUAAGAUUUUGCUUCUUCCAGUAAUCCGUGCGUAAAAAGAUUCCAUGUUGAUUUCUUCAAUGCUACCAUGCCUUUUUUCUUAGAAAAGGACCGGCCGUCCUGGGUACUAGCUACCAUGUAAUUCAGGGGCAUGCAAGUCAGAUCUGCUGCAAAUGCUUUUUCAGAGAGUUUAGAUUUUAUUUUAAAGUCAGUAAGUUUGCACACUUAUCGAUAAAGGGGGGGGAUCUUUUUACUAUCCGACCUGGUUUGGUAAUCAGUCUUUUAAGUUACUCAUGACGAUUAUGCUCAGAAGCUGUACAUAAUCAAGUUCAACAUGGAAAGUGCAUGCCAAAUCACAUGUUUGUCCUCCUUUUGGCUGAAUAAAAUCUUACUUGGGUUUGUGUUCCUUCUGGCAGAGGUUGGUUCAGCAUCAGCCUACACAGUAUCCAACUUCUGAAGAGCUGAGCAUCGGGAAGAUCAAGUUCAAGGCAUUUGAUUUAGGAGGCCAUCAGAUUGCUCGCCGUGUGUGGAAGGAUUACUAUGCCAAGGUCUCAUCUUCCUCUAUCUUAUUACUCUCUUUACUAUACAUGAGUUAUUUGGUGCUGUUAUAUCUGUUUAAUGCAUUUCUUCUCCUGUGGUGUAGUUUCUAGAAAUAUUGUGCUGUUGUUUGAUAUGUUUUUCUUUCCAUAUGAAAUACAGAUUAUAGAUACAGUAUGACAGUAGCCCUAAAAGUUCUAUUAAAUGUCAUUAUCAGUGGAUAGUAGUGGUUGGCACGGAUGCACUAGAAUAUGUCCUAACUUUUGUCCCCACAUGUAACACCAGCUGUGCGUUGAGAAAUAUUUAUCAAGUUGUUGGCCGGUGGGGUUAGUGCAUUUUGAACCACAAUCAGCCGACUCCAGUACUCCUAUAUGCUGUCCCACUCCCACCAUUAUGUAGCUAUCAAGAUCCAUGAUAUAACACCAGUGAUAUAUGUGCAAUGUGGCAAUCUAGUUGCUUACGUAAAGUGGGAAUAUGCUUUCAUAUUAGUCUGUGUGCACAAUAAUCUAUUGAAAUACCAGUGGUUUUCCUUUUACCCCCUUUGAAUGUAUAUUAGCAUAAAUGCUGCUGUGACUUUUGUUCUUAUCUACUUUAGAUGUUGCUUCUACCCCAAAAUGGUUUCGUACAAUAUUACGAGGUAGCAAGUCAUUUUGGCAUGUUGGAUUAAGCGGUGUAUGACCAUAGUGAAAGAGUUAUAUUCAUCAGAGUGUUGCAGCAGGAUCAAUUUGGUGACACAAUCGAACUCUGGGAGUCUUAAGUGAUCUAGUCCCAGAUGAUGAAAUGUUAGCAUAAACAUUUACAUUAAUACUGUAGAGUGUGCAGCAGGAUCAGUUUGAGGAUACAAUCGGGCUCCGAGAUUUUGUGUAACUAAAUUUGCCAAACCAUGAAAUAUUAGGUUUGGUGGAACAAAGGGGGACAUAAGAAUAUCUCUGGUGCUGGCAAAGGGGCCAGAUCCAGAAGGGUUAAAUUGGUUUUACAAUGGACACUUGGAUAGGGCUGCAAUUACUAAGAGGGAGAUAAGAACGGUUUUGGGGUAGAAUAAGUUCAUAGUUGAAACAGCAAAUGGAUACAUGUAUAGUAUCAGAUAAACUCAGCAACCAACCUGGCUGGGCAAGACUUUAGCAGGAAUAUCAUUAGGAACGCCCUGAAUAAUAAGGAUUUAUUUUGUAAUGAAAUUGUUUUGUAAUACUGUAGCACCGAACUCUUGAAUUUGCAUCUUGCGGCCAAGAAGGCUUAACUGCUUAAUCAUAGCUUUUGGUGCAUUAUGCGUAUACUCAUGUUGUCUGCAUGCAUGGCGGUCUCUGUUACUCCUGAUGAUGUUGUUCUGACUUAGUAGUGUACUUUUCUGUCAUUCUGAGUACUGGGCGCGGCAACGAUCCUGGACUUCAUCUGUUUGAUGCCAUCUUCUGAUUGUCAUGUGGUCAGGUUGAUGCAGUGGUGUACCUCGUGGACGCCUAUGACAAAGAGAGGUUUGCCGAAUCCAAGAAGGAGCUCGACGCCCUCCUCUCAGACGAUUCGCUGGCCACCGUCCCCUUCCUGAUCCUGGGCAACAAGAUCGACAUCCCCUAUGCCGCCUCAGAGGAAGAGCUCCGCUACCACCUGGGUCUUAGCAACUUCACGACUGGCAAGGGCAAGGUGAGCCUCAGCGAGUCCAAUGUCCGCCCCCUGGAGGUCUUCAUGUGCAGCAUCGUCCGCAAGAUGGGCUAUGGCGAAGGGUUCAAGUGGAUGUCGCAGUAUAUCAAGUAGGUCAGGCAGGGGGGAGUGGUGAAAGAAAAAAAAAAGAGUUAUAAGUAGUCAUGGUGAUAAUCUUGUUUUACCUUACCUUGCCACCAGAGUGUUAGGGAGCUAGCUGGUCAUGGUGCCAGUACAUAUGUGAUGUAAUGGAUGUAGUUCAAAGUCUGGGGACUCCGUCCUAGAUUUUUUUUGGUUGAGUUAUUACAACAAUGUGAUGUCUGAAAAGGUGAUAUGCUUUGAACUCCAUUGCUGGUGCUCCAUGGUAUUCUGAA